GCAUGCUUCUUUCAAAUCUGAGAUGUCAUAUUUGUCUGCUGCUCGAAGAAGGGGCAGUCUAUGGGUUAAGAAUUGUUCGUUUUCUAUGUUACCGUACAGGUAACUGAGAAAGGCCUGGCAGGCUUCAACUGACAUGUCAGAAAUGUUUACGGCAGACAUUUCUUUCUCUUUUAGGUCGUGUGAGAACAUGCUUCGGAAUACAGGAGACCUGGAAGCAAGAACUGCACGAUGUGCUGGAAUGCUUCCAUCAGAUGCGUUUAUUACAAUAUCCGUGUGAAUGCUUUCAGACAACAUUCGACCAAGGGAUGAUAGCGCUGUUUCAGUC
rnacentral:lncRNA from 1 species